GUGUGAUUGUAAAUUAGGUAUGAUCACCGGUCCACAUUCUUCAUUUGGGCUGUGUGACCGGAGGCGACUUAGGUUUUGUGGUUAUCCACUGGGCUUAUUUUGAUGUAAGAAUCACCGAGAAGCACUCAUGAAGCGUGGGAGGACAUAGAACUAGCUACAGACAGGAGUCUCGUCCUUCCAGAGACAGACACCCAACUCAUUCAGCUGCACAGUGUCACCGAGAACAGAUGGAAACAUGAAGCCAAUGUACAGCCUCAACAGCUGCAUACCAGACAGUCGCCACAGCGGCUGAUCGUGGUUAAAAGACACAGCGUGGCCCGAGGCAAACGUUACCCUUUAUCUAAUAAGGGUGGUGGAAUGAUGGAAUUCCUGAUAAGAAGAGUCACACUAGGACAGGCUAAGGGAAAUAUUCAUACAGGAAGCACUCUGAGGAGAAGGUUCCUCCUAGCUAGAAUGUAAGCGCCAUGCAGGCAGGAAUUUUGACUGGUUCACUGCUGUAUCCUCUGGUACCUAAUAAUGACUAACACAUAGUAAGUGUUCGAGAAAAUGUUCAUUGAUGUAUGAAUACACAGACUUGAAGUGGCGCUGGGACGACUGGGGUGGCAGGGCUUUGGUAAGUGUAAUAAAGCCGAAGCAAAUGGUGAUAUAAUAAAGCAGAUUGGGGGCCGGGCGCGGUGUAAUCCCAGCACUUUGGGAGGCCGAGGCGGGCAGAUCACGAAGUCAGGAGAUCGAGACCAUCCUGGCUAACACGGUGAAACCCCGUCUCUACUAAAAAUACAAAAAAAAUUAGCCGGGCGUGGUGGCGGGCGCCUGUAGUCCCAGCUACUCGGGAGGCUGAGGCAGGAGAACGGCGUGAACCCGAGAGGCGGAGCUUGCAGUGAGCCGAGACCGCGCCACUGCACUCCAGCCUGGGUGACAGAGCGAGACUGUGUCUCAAAAUAAAUAAAUAAAAAUAAAAUAAAGCAGAUUGAAUCUAA